AAGGGCACCACAAGAACGCGUGGAGCAUGUGGCUUAAUUUGACUCAACGCGGGAAAACUUACCGGGUCCGGACACACUGAGGAUUGACAGGCGAGUAUAGCUUAUAUAGCUAUACGCUACAUAUGUAAGUCCUUUCAUGAUUGUGUGAUAGGUGGUGCAUGGCCGUUCUUAGUUCGUGGAGUGAUCUGUCUGCUUAAUUGCGUUUCAGAUAUACAAAGGCGAGCUUAUUAUGCGAAGUGUCUUACACCAAGGUGUAUGCACUAAGCAGGCUGCCUUUUGAAAGCAACGAACGUGACCG
rnacentral:rRNA from 1 species